GACGAACGCUGGCGGCGUGCUUAACACAUGCAAGUCGAACGGAAAGGCCCUGCUUUUGUGGGGUGCUCGAGUGGCGAACGGGUGAGUAACACGUGAGUAACCUUCCCUUGACUUUGGGAUAACUUCAGGAAACUGGGGCUAAUACCGGAUAGGAGCUCCUGCUACAUGGUGGGGGUUCGAAAGUUUCGGCGGUUGGGGAUGGUCUCGCGGCGUAUCAGCUUGUUGGUGGGGUAGUGGCUUACCAAGGCUUGGACGGGUAGCCGGCCUGAGAGGGUGACCGGCCACAUUGGGACUGAGAUACGGCCCAGACUCCUACGGGAGGCAGCAGUGGGGAAUAGUGCACAAUGGGCGGAAGCCUGAUGCAGCAACGCCGCGUGCGGGAUGACGGCCUUCGGGUUGUAAACCGCUGUCGCCUGUGACGAAGCGUGAGUGACGGUAAUGGGUAAAGAAGCACCGGCUAACUACGUG
rnacentral:rRNA from 1 species